rnacentral:rRNA from 1 species
AGAACGAACGCUGGCGGCAGGCCUAAUACAUGCAAGUCGAACGCCGUAGCAAUACGGAGUGGCAGACGGGUGAGUAACACGUGGGAACGUGCCCAAAGGUACGGAACAACUCCGGGAAACUGGAGCUAAUACCGUAUGUACCCGAAAGGGGAAGAUUUAUCGCCUUUGGAUUGGCCCGCGUCGGAUUAGCUAGUUGGUGGGGUAAAAGCCUACCAAGGCGACGAUCCGUAGCUGGUCUGAGAGGACGACCAGCCACACUGGGACUGAGACACGGCCCAGACUCCUACGGGAGGCAGCAGUGGGGAAUCUUGGACAAUGGGCGCAAGCCUGAUCCAGCCAUGCCGCGUGGAUGAUGAAGGCCCUAGGGUUGUAAAAUCCUUUCGCCGAGGACGAUAAUGACGGUACUCGGAGAAGAAGCUCCGGCUAACUUCGUGCCAGCAGCCGC